UACGAAGGGUGCAAGCGUUACUCGGAAUUACUGGGCGUAAAGCGUGCGUAGGCGGUUUGUUAAGUCUGUCGUGAAAGCCCCGGGCUCAACCUGGGAAUUGCAUUCGAGACUGAAUAGCUAGGGUACGGUAGAGGGAAGUGGAAUUUCCGGUGUAGCGGUGAAAUGCGUAGAUAUCGGAAGGAACUCAGUGGCGAAAGCGACUUCCUGGACCAGUACCGACGUCAGGCACGAAAGCGUGGGGAGCAACAGG
rnacentral:rRNA from 1 species